rnacentral:lncRNA from 1 species
AAAAGUGACAGCCGCCUGUGCCCCAGGGCCAGUGCCUGUUGGAGCAGUGCGCCUACGUGGAUGCCCUGCACGUCUUCUCGCAAGCCUCCAAACUUCAACCCAAGAAAUCCUGCUUCCAGUACCGGUGCAUGGCUUGCCUCCUGGCCCUCGAACGCUACCACGACUGCCUCUUGCUCAUCGCUAAGGAGCUGAAGCAGGGCACGAGCAAUGCCGAUAUCUACAUCCUCCAGGCCAGGCUCC